GACGAACGCUGGCGGCGUGCUUAACACAUGCAAGUCGAACGGAAAGGCCCUGCUUUUGUGGGGUGCUCGAGUGGCGAACGGGUGAGUAACACGUGAGUAACCUGCCCUUGACUUUGGGAUAACUUCAGGAAACUGGGGCUAAUACCGGAUAGGAGCUCCUGCUGCAUGGUGGGGGUUGGAAAGUUUCGGCGGUUGGGGAUGGACGCGCGGCUUAUCAGCUUGUUGGUGGGGUAGUGGCUUACCAAGGCUUUGACGGGUAGCCGGCCUGAGAGGGUGACCGGCCACAUUGGGACUGAGAUACGGCCCAGACUCCUACGGGAGGCAGUAGUGGGGAAUAUUGCACAAUGGGCGGAAGCCUGAUGCAGCAGCGCCGCGUGCGGGAUGACGGCCUUCGGGUUGUAAACCGCUUUCGCCUGUGACGAAGCGUGAGUGACGGUAAUGGGUAAAGAAGCACCGGCUAACUACGUG
rnacentral:rRNA from 1 species